CUCUGGCGACGCCGGCUCGGCCCGCGGGCGUGAGGGAGGGGGAGCCCUCGGCGAAGGGGGCCCCGCGGUCCUUUGCUCCCGGCCGCGCCUUGUUUCAGAAGGCUCCGUGGCAGCCCGGGGACGUGGAGCGGUAGGCCGGGGUGGGGGGGGGCUGGCUCUUAGAAAAGCACGAGGGACCUGAGUCGGGCUUUCCGGAACGUUUCAUGCAUGAAAAAGAAAGAGAUCCCUGAAAUAAAUCUGAGUCAGCUGAGAAGACAAGAAAGAUGUCUGAAUCCGAAGUAGCACCCCCCCAGUUGGCAAGGAUGAAACACAGUUUCACUUAUCCCGCCACAAAAAUUUGACAGAAUGGUCAAGGUUGGGAAUCACAGGAAACAAGCAUGCCUCACCUACACACUGAACAAGAAGAGAAGCAAAGGUUGCAGGAACUCCACAGGGACAUACUCAGACAGACGAGCAAAUGCUAGUAAAAAAUUAUCCUCUGGGAUCUCUCUGAGAGAGAGAAAUGGAGCCACUGAAAGCUGGCCCUACGAACUGCUAUAGGGUUUGCAACUGCAUCAACAGUUGUGAAACCGAAAAUGGCUAGCCAACAGAUCUAACUGUAUUAGUCUAAGCACCUUCUUCCUUUUCAUUACCUGGAGAAUAUCUGCUAUAGGAACCACAUCUUGCAUGCAUACACUUAGGCAUAAAUCCAGACUGACAAGAAUCAGGAAGAUCUGAAAUAUCUAGACAACAUGAACAUUUUCUAAGGGAUACUGUGGAAGACUUAGCUGGGUUGCCUUGUGUCUAGUCUGGGCUUCUUGGUAAGACACAGGAAGGCAGCUUUGUUAGAUGUUGGCAUGCCUCUUUCUAUUGCUAAUUAUAAGGACCACAUAACAUACUCCACACUCUUUUCUUUCAACAACCUGCUAAUGUUAGAAAAAAGGUUUUAAUUCACGUAGGAAUAAAAGUCAACAAGCUUUUCA
rnacentral:lncRNA from 1 species